rnacentral:lncRNA from 1 species
GUCACCAUGUGAAGAAGAUCCUUGCUUCCCCUUCACCUUCUGCCAUGAUUUUAAGUUUCUUGAGGCCUCCCCAGCCAUGUGGAACUGUAAGAUGAAGUAAACACAUGGCAGCCUCUCUCUCCCACUGACGAUACAACCUUGAUAGAGGGCAUGGUGGAGCUAAUUGAAUGAUCCGAACAGUAAAUACCAGCAAGUAGAUGGGUGAAAACAGCCAGGAUUCCAAGUACCACAAAACUGGUGUUGAGUUGUGCACACUUUUUCCUCUGGAAUCUCUUGAGCAGAACUCAGCAUGACCUGAAACCCAGGAGUGAGCCGCACAGUGCCGACAAUGAGAUGCAGAAGAAAACCUCUGGUUCUGGCUGAAGCAGUGGACAAGGAGACUCUUGAAACUCAGAGCCUGGGGGCACCCCUGAUAGUGUUCUUUACUUUCUCUCCCUUCUCACAUUCCAGCCACCAGAGAAUGCAAGAGAGGAGUAGCAGUGGCAGUAAAUGUGGCAUCAACAACAACAACAAAAAGCAGGGACUAGGACUCUGAGGAAGGGAAGCCUAUAUUCUGGCCUCAGGGUGCUCUUUCUUCCUGCCUAGGGGUCAUAUACCACCUGUGGGCACCUCAGGACUCCUGACAACCUCACUUUUACCUGUUGCCUUUUUAGCCCAGGAUCAGUAGGUAUGGGGGUGCACAUGCUCUUGAGGACACAGCAGCUGUCACAUCAGGGAACCCGACUCCAGAACCCUCUGUAAAUAUCCCAUGGCUUGGCCCUGCCCAUCACCCCACCCAGGCCUCCUCAAAUGAGGAGCUAAAGCUGGCCCAUGGGGCCAAAGUG